rnacentral:rRNA from 1 species
UAAUACCGGAUAGAUCAAAGAUACUGGAAUGUUCCUUGAUCCAAAGCUCCGGCGUCCAAGGAUGGAUCUGCGGCUUAUCAGGUAGUAGUGGGUGUAACGUACCUACUAGCCUACGACGAGUACGGGUUGUGAGAGCAAGAGCCCGGAGAUGGAUUCUGAGACAUGAAUCCAGGCCCUACGGGGCGCAGCAGGCGCGAAAUCUUUACAAUGCAGGAAACUGCGAUAAGGGGACCCCGAGUGCCAGCAUCUAAUGCUGGCUGUCCAGCUGUGUAAAUAGCAGUUGUUAGCAAGGGCCGGGCAAGACCGGUGCCAGCCGCCGCGGUAACACCGGCGGCCCGAGUGGUAACCGAUUUUAUUGGGUUUAAAGGGUCCGUAGCCGGCCUGUUAAGUCUCUUGGGAAAUCUGGCGGCUCAAUCGUCAGGCGUUC